UGGGCCGGGCGACUCCGGAGCUCCUCGGCCCGGUCCCCGGUGGCUCGCCGCGGACAGCAGCGCGGCUACGGGGCGGACCGCUGUACCCCGGUCGCGCCUGGCGGAGGAUAGCGGCGAGGGGCGCCCGCGGCCGCAGAGAGGGCCGCCGGUCGGGACGUUGACGGCACUUACCUGGGGUGCCGCAGAGAAACGCCGUGAAUUGCGGGGGCAUCAGUACCCCGGCCAAAUUAGAAUUUAAAUCCGUUGUUUUGAGCACCAUGACGCUGAGACUUUUAGAAGACUGGUGCAGGGGGAUGGAUGUGAACCCUCGGAAAGCGCUGUUGAUUGCCGGCAUCCCCCCGACCUGCACUGUGGCGGAAAUCGAGGAGGCUCUGCGGGCUGGUUUAGCGCCCUUGGGCGAGUACUCACUGCUGGGGAGGAUGUUCCGGCGGGUGGAGAACUGGAAUGUAGCCUUAGUAGGGCUAACCGAGGAGACUAGGCAUGCUCUGGUCCCUAAGGAGAUCCCUGGAAAAGGGGGUGUCUGGAGAGUGAUCUUUAAGCCUCCGGACCCGGAUAAUGAAUUUUUAAGCAGAUUAAACGAAUUCUUAGAGGGAGAGGGUACAACACUGGGUGAGUUGACCAGCGCUCUUGGAUAUGGAAACGACCGUUCCGACCUAGACCAGGACAGGAUCCCAGAAAUACAGGCCCCUAUAUUGGCACAGGCAUUAGAUGAGGCUCUUCAGCCUGCCCUGCAAUACCUGAAAUACAAAAAGCUGAGAGUGUUCUCAGGCAGCGAUCCUCCAGAACCAGGAGAAGAAGAAUUUGAAUCUUGGCUGUUUCAUACCACUCAGAUGAUGAAGACAUGGCAGGUGUCAGAUGCAGAGAAAAGAAGGCGAUUGCUAGAGAGCCUUAGAGGCCCAGCAUUUGAUGUUAUUCGAGUCCUUAAGAUAAACAAUCCUUCCAUUACAGUCGCUGAAUGCCUGCGGGCCCUUGAGCAGGUUUUUGGGGUUAUCGACAAUCCUAGGGAAUUGCAGGUCAGGUAUCUGACCACUUAUCAGAAGGAUGAAGAAAAACUGUCUGCUUACGUGUUAAGGUUGGAGCCUUUAUUACAGAAGCUGGUAGAGAGAGGAGCAAUCGAGAAAGAUGUUGUGAAUCAGGCCCGCCUAGACCAAAUCUUUGCCGGAGCAAUCCACAGAACGCUUCGCAGGAAGCUUCCCGUGCCAAAGGACGGCCCCGCCCCUGGCUUUUUGGAAUUACUGGCACUGAUAAAGGAUGAAGAGGCAGCUGAGGAGGAGGAGGCCCUUCUCCAGGCAGGGUUAAAAGGGCAUUUCUCCUGAAUCUUAGGAAACCAGGAAGAGACAGCCGGCCGCAAGCAUGAAGCAUGAAGAUUCCAAGAGAGAUUUCAUCUGAACAUACGGUUCCAGCAGCGCCUGGGUGGCUCCAUCCGAUAAGCAUCCAUCUUCGGCUCCGGUGAUGAUCUCACAGCUCUCCUGAGUUCAAGCCCUGCUUCAGGCUCUGUGCUGACAGCUCGGAGCCUGGAGCCUGCUUCAGAUUCUGUGUCUCCUCUCUCUGCCCAUCCCCCCCUUGUGCUCUGUCUCUCUCUGUCUCUAAAUGAAUGAAUGAAUGAAUGAAUGAAUGUAUCUUGGGCGCCUGGGUGGCUCAGUAGAUUGAGUGUCCAACUUCAGCUUAGGUCAUGUUCUCACAGUUCGUGAGUUUGGGCCCCACCGUGGGCUCUGUGCUGACAGCUCAGAGCCUGGAGCCUGCUUCGGAUUCUGUCUCCCUCUCUCCCUCUGCCCCUCCCCUGCUUGUGCUCUGUCUCUCUUUCUCUCUUAAAAAUAAACAAACAUUAAAAAAAAAAAGAAGAAGUAGGAGAUACACGGGACGCCUGGGUGGCUCAGUCGGUUAAGCGUCUGACUUCGACUCAGGUGAGUUCAAGCCCCACGUCGGGCUCUGUGCUGACAGCUCAGAGCCUGGAGCCUGUUUCAGAUUCCAUGUCUCCCUCUCUCUCUGCCCCUCUCCCGCUCGUGUUCUGUCUCUGUCUCUGUCUCUCUCUCAAAAAUAAACAAAAAAAGGGUUCCAAAAGCAUAAAUCUGAAAAACACCAGGGUUAACACAAUCUUACUCCCUUGGAUAUUUUCCUCUUAGUGCCAAGGGGUAGGGAGUAGUUUUCUAAGUGAGAUUGCCAAAGGGACCUUGUAUUGAUGCACAGUGGAAUGAACAA